UACGGGAGGCAGCAGUGAGGAAUAUUGGUCAAUGGGCGAGAGCCUGAACCAGCCAAGUAGCGUGCAGGAAGACGGCCCUAUGGGUUGUAAACUGCUUUUAUACAGGGAUAAAGUCGCCUACGUGUAGGUGUUUGCAGGUACUGUAUGAAUAAGGACCGGCUAAUUCCGUGCCAGCAGCCGCGGUAAU
rnacentral:rRNA from 1 species